GUACCCUUUUUGCAAGGUUGUUUUGUGUUUCCCACACUAUCUGCACUACUUGCGUUAUUUACUUUUUCACUAGUGGUUAAUUUCCAUUGAAUUGAUUUGUUUGUCUGUGAUUUCUGGAUUUUUUGAAAAGCUUAAAUUUUGGAUUUAUUUCAGAAAAAGACAUUCCAACUAAUUUUCUGGAUGAAGUUGCAAAGCAAGCCUCAAGCUCUGGAGCACAGGAGAUUGAAGGAUGUUACAAGUGAUUGGCUUUUCCCACUUUUUGCGGUUAUAUCAACCAUUUGCUUGGUGGAUUUAGACAACUGUGACAUGUUGCUCCCUUUUUUUCAUGGUUGUUGGUGCAAAGGACGCGUACCAUCGCAGUGAACUAUUGGUAUGAUAUGCAGUUCGAUGUAAAAUAUGCUUACUUCAACUUCUUACAAUCAAUUCCUCACCCAUCAUCCCAUGGUCUGACACCACAUGAAAUGGGAUUUGUUGGAUCAUCCUCAGAUACAUCUAUUUGCUAUUUAGGAGAUGAACCAG